rnacentral:rRNA from 1 species
CGUAGUGACCUGCGGAGGAUCAUUACCGAGUGAGGGCCCUCUGGGUCCAACCUCCCACCCGUGUUUAACUGUACCUUGUUGCUUCGGCGGGCCCGCCUCACGGCCGCCGGGGGGCUCUUCUGCCCCCGGGCCCGCGCCCGCCGAAGACACCUGUGAACGCUGUCUGAAGUAUGCAGUCUGAGAAAACUAGCUAAAUUAGUUAAAACUUUCAACAACGGAUCUCUUGGUUCCGGCAUCGAUGAAGAACGCAGCGAAAUGCGAUAAUUAAUGUGAAUUGCAGAAUUCAGUGAAUCAUCGAGUCUUUGAACGCACAUUGCGCCCUCUGGUAUUCCGGAGGGCAUGCCUGUCCGAGCGUCAUUGCUGCCCUCAAGCACGGCUUGUGUGUUGGGCCCUCGUCCCCCCGGGGACGGGCCCGAAAGGCAGCGGCGGCACCGCGUCCGGUCCUCGAGCGUAUGGGGCUUCGUCACCCGCUCGUUAGGCCCGGCCGGCGCCAGCCGACCCCCCCUCAAUCUUUAACCAGGUUGACCUCGGAUCAGGUAGGGAUACCCGCUGAACUUAAGCAUAUCAAUAAGCGGAGGAAAAGAAACCAACCGGGAUUGCCCUAGUAACGGCGAGUGAAGCGGCAAGAGCUCAAAUUUGAAAGCUGGCCCCUGCGGGGUCCGCAUUGUAAUUUGCAGAGGAUGCUUCGGGAGCGGUCCCCAUCUAAGUGCCCUGGAACGGGCCGUCAUAGAGGGUGAGAAUCCCGUAUGGGAUGGGGUGCCCGCGCCCGUGUGAAGCUCCUUCGACGAGUCGAGUUGUUUGGGAAUGCAGCUCUAAUUGGGUGGUAAAUUUCAUCUAAAGCUAAAUAUUGGCCGGAGACCGAUAGCGCACAAGUAGAGUGAUCGAAAGAUGAAAAGCACUUUGAAAAGAGAGUUAAACAGCACGUGAAAUUGUUGAAAGGGAAGCGCUUGCGAUCAGACUCGCUCCCGGGGUUCAGCCGGCAUUCGUGCCGGUGUACUUCCCCGGGGGCGGGCCAGCGUCGGUUUGGGCGGCCGGUCAAAGGCCCCUGGAAUGUAACGCCUCUCGGGGCGUCUUAUAGCCAGGGGUGCCAUGCGGCCUGCCCGGACCGAGGAACGCGCUC